GGUAUUGCUUAGUGGUAGAGUGAGUGCUUAGCAUGCACGAGGUCCUGGAUUCAAUCCCCAGUACC
rnacentral:tRNA from 1 species